rnacentral:rRNA from 1 species
UUUGGUGGGCAGACACCCCGCGGCACUGGGGCUAAUCCCCCAUAGGGGAUGGGUACUGGAAUGUCCCAUCUCCGAAAGCGCUUAGCGCCCGAGGAUGGGUCUGCGGCGGAUUAGGUUGUUGGUGGGGUAACGGCCCACCAAGCCGAAGAUCCGUACGGGCCAUGAGAGUGGGAGCCCGGAGAUGGACCCUGAGACACGGGUCCAGGCCCUACGGGGCGCAGCAGGCGCGAAACCUCCGCAAUGCGGGAAACCGCGACGGGGUCAGCCGGAGUGCUCGCGCAUCGCGCGGGCUGUCGGGGUGCCUAAAAAGCACCCCAUAGCAAGGGCCGGGCAAGGCCGGUGGCAGCCGCCGCGGUAAUACCGGCGGCCCGAGUGGCGGCCACUUUUAUUGGGCCUAAAGCGUCCGUAGCCGGGCUGGUAAGUCCUCCGGGAAAUCUGGUCGCUUAACGAUCAGACUGCCGGAGGAUACUGCCAGCCUAGGGACCGGGAGAGGCCGGGGGUAUUCCCGGGGUAGGGGUGAAAUCCUGUAAUCCCGGGAGGACCACCUGUGGCGAAGGCGCCCGGCUGGAACGGGUCCGACGGUGAGGGACGAAGGCCAGGGGAGCGAACCGGAUUAGAUACCCGGGUAGUCCUGGCUGUAAACGAUGCGGACUAGGUGUCACCGAAGCUACGAGCUUCGGUGGUGCCGGAGGGAAGCCGUUAAGUCCGCCGCCUGGGGAGUACGGCCGCAAGGCUGAAACUUAA